ACGAAACUUUCUUACACCGAAUGCUUGCAUUCACCGUAAGAAGUUGAGUGGCGGACGGGUGAGUAACACGUGGGUAACCUGCCUAAAAGAAGGGGAUAACACUUGGAAACAGGUGCUAAUACCGUAUAUCUCUAAGGAUCGCAUGAUUCUUAGAUGAAAGAUGGUUCUGCUAUCGCUUUUAGAUGGACCCGCGGCGUAUUAACUAGUUGGUGGGGUAACGGCCUACCAAGGUGAUGAUACGUAGCCGAACUGAGAGGUUGAUCGGCCACAUUGGGACUGAGACACGGCCCAAACUCCUACGGGAGGCAGCAGUAGGGAAUCUUCCACAAUGGACGCAAGUCUGAUGGAGCAACGCCGCGUGAGUGAAGAAGGUCUUCGGAUCGUAAAACUCUGUUGUUAGAGAAGAACACGAGUGAGAGUAACUGUUCAUUCGAUGACGGUAUCUAACCAGCAAGUCACGGCUAACUACGUGCCAGCAGCCGCGGUAAUACGUAGGUGGCAAGCGUUGUCCGGAUUUAUUGGGCGUAAAGGGAACGCAGGCGGUCUUUUAAGUCUGAUGUGAAAGCCUUCGGCUUAACCGGAGUAGUGCAUUGGAAACUGGAAGACUUGAGUGCAGAAGAGGAGAGUGGAACUCCAUGUGUAGCGGUGAAAUGCGUAGAUAUAUGGAAGAACACCAGUGGCGAAAGCGGCUCUCUGGUCUGUAACUGACGCUGAGGU
rnacentral:rRNA from 1 species